CCGAACGAGUUCCCAAAUCGCCCUGCAGAUCAUUAGAGAAGGAAACUCCCAAAGACUGUAACUGAGGUAGCUUGCAAUGUUGCCUUGAGGACAGGAGCUGUGUUUCCAGCUUGUCCCUGGGAUAGAGCAGCCUGUAACCUGGGGUUCUUACCAACAGAGGGGGACAGCGAAACCCACCAUCCAGGGUUCAUGAACUCCUAAAACUGGAGAGUUGGAAGGGAUGGAAAGAAUCAUGGCAAUGGCUUACAUCACCCUGUCCCUUACAUGUCUCUCCUGCUCUUCACCAUGGCGCUCCUGAGAGAACCGGUGUCUUUCCUACUGUGCCCUUCCUCCAGCCUUGGGCAGGCUAAACAGACCUUGAGUGCUUGCCACAAUGGUUUUAAGAUCUAAAUGGAUCUGGCCUCUGCUGCACUUGCUAUUUCCUACAGGAGCUUUGCAGAGCAGACUGCCUGCUGAACUUGCUGAAACAAAGGACAGGUAACCCAGUUCAUCCACAUCUGCUGGACAACCGUUACAUCCUACUAUUUGAAACCAUGAAGCAUAACUCAGAGAAGAUAGAAACAAAAUUGUGUUUUAUGUUACAUUGCCAGGGACAAAACUCUAUCAAAUGAUAAUGGCAUGUAGUUCCCUCUUCCAUGUGUCAGAAGCCAUGUUAAAUCAACAAGCUGUUUUCAUUCAAUAUUUAUACUGUCCUAUAAUGUUCAUACAAUGUUCAUACAAUGUUCAUACAAUCCUGUAACUGGGUUAACAUGUUGUUUUAAUUUCCUAUUGCUGUUCUACAAGGUAAGCUCAAUUCAGGGCUUGGAUGUAACACAAAUCACUUAAAGUUUUGGAGAUCGCCGGGCAUGGUGGCGCAUGCCUUUAAUCCUAGCACUCGGGAGGCAGAGGCAGGUGGAUUUCUGAGAUCAAGGCCAGCCUGGUCUAGAGUGAGUUCCAGGACAGCCAGGGAUAUACAGAGAAACCCUGUCUCAAAAAAACCACAAAAAAAAAAAAAAAAAAAAAAAAAAAGUUUUGGAGAUCACAGUAGGUCUGCAGUCUGUAUUCUUUCUACGCAGUAGUUCUCAACCUUCCUAAUGCUUUGAUUUAAUACCAUAUCUCAUGUGGUGACCACCAACCAUAAAAUC